GACGAACGCUGGCGGCGUGCCUAAUACAUGCAAGUAGGACGCAGUUGCGAACGGGUGAGUAACGCGUAGGUAACUACCUAUUAGAGGGGGAUAACUAUUGGAAACGAUAGCUAAUACCGCAUACUAGUAGAUGGACCUGCGUUGUAUUAGCUAGUAGGUAGGGUAAUGGCCUACCUAGGCAACGAUACAUAGCCGACCUGGAAGGGUGGUCGGCCAAAAUGGGACUGGGACACGGCCCAGGCUCCUACGGGGGGCAGCAGUAGGGGAGCUUCGGCAAUGGGGGGAACCCUGACCGGGCAACGCCGCGGGAAUGAAAGAGGUUUUCGGAUCGUAAAGAUCUGUUGUGAAGGAAGCGGUACUUAACCAGAAAGGGACGGCUAACUACGUGCCAGCCGCCGCGGUAAUAC
rnacentral:rRNA from 1 species